rnacentral:rRNA from 1 species
GGCGGACGGGUGAGUAACGCGUGGGAACCUGCCCAGUGGUCGGGGAUAACUGCGGGAAACUGCAGCUAAUACCCGGUAAGCCCCCAGGGGAAAGAUUCAUCGCCAUUGGAGGGGCCCGCGUCGGAUUAGGUAGUUGGUGGGGUAAAGGCCUACCAAGCCUUCGAUCCGUAGCUGGUCUGAGAGGAUGAUCAGCCACACUGGGACUGAGAUACGGCCCAGACUCCUACGGGAGGCAGCAGUGGGGAAUAUUUGGACAGUGGGCGCAAGCCUGAUCCAGCAAUGCCGCGUGAGUGAAGAAGGCCUUAGGGUUGUAAAGCUCUUUCGGCGGGGACGAUGAUGACGGUACCCGCAGAAGAAGCCCCGGCUAACUCCGUUGCCAGCCGCCGCGG